AAGUCGUAACAAGGUUUCCGUAGGUGAACCUGCGGAAGGAUCAUUAACACGUAUCCAAACGUUAAAACCCCCCCCGUGAACCUUCAUCCUGCUCUUGUAACCCGCGUAGUUCGCAGAGACCUCUGGCUACGUGCGAACAUUGGAACAGUUAGAAUCGAGCGGUAGUUCUAUAGGCAAUGUUUCCCCAAGCAGUCAGUGUCGGAAAGUGUCAUUGAUUGUGCAAGGAUAGCGCUUCUACGAUUCCUGUAGACCGUACACUCGGGCAGGAGCUUUGCCAAAGGGUCCCCAUGCCCCCUAAUAACCCCACAGUUUAAUGUGAAGCUCAAUGUAAUACAUUGGGUAAAAAAACCGAACAACUGUUAACAAUGGAUAUCUUGGUUCUC
rnacentral:misc_RNA from 1 species